GUGUCAGCCGCCGCGGUAAUACGGAGGGUCCGAGCGUUAUCCGGAUUUAUUGGGUUUAAAGGGUGCGUAGGCGGUUUUAUAAGUCAGCGGUGAAAUUUUCCGGCUCAACCGGGAUACUGCCGUUGAUACUGUAAGGCUAGGAUAUGGUUGCUGUGGGUGGAAUGUGUGGUGUAGCGGUGAAAUGCUUAGAGAUCACACAGAAUAUCGAUUGCGAAGGCAGCUCACAAAGCCAUUAUUGACGCUGAGGCACGAAAGUGUGGGGAUCAAACAGGAUUAGAUACCCUGGUAGUCCACACUGUAAACGAUGAUAACUCGCUGUCGGCGAUAUAAAGUCGGUGGCCAAGCGAAAGCGAUAAGUUAUCCACCUGGGGAGUACGACCGCAAGGUUGAAACUCAAAGGAAUUGACGG
rnacentral:rRNA from 1 species